rnacentral:rRNA from 1 species
UACGGGGGGAGCAAGCGUUGUUCGGAUUUACUGGGCGUAAAGGGCGCGUAGGCGGCCACCGCAAGUCGGUUGUGAAAUCUCUGGGCUUAACCCAGAAAGGUCAACCGAUACUGCGGGGCUAGAGUGCAGAAGGGGCAACUGGAAUUCUCGGUGUAGCGAUGAAAUGCGUAGAUAUCGAGAGGAACACCUGCGGCGAAGGCGGGUUGCUGGGCCGACACUGACGCUGAUGCGCGAAAGCGUGGGGAGCGAACAGG